CGCGUAGGCGGGAUGGCAAGUCGGUCGUGAAAUCCCUCGGCUCAACCGAGGAACGUCGAUCGAUACUGCUGUUCUUGAGGAUUGCAGAGGAGACUGGAAUUCCCGGUGUAGCGGUGAAAUGUGUAGAGAUCGGGAGGAACACCGGUGGCGAAGGCGGGUCUCUGGGCAAUUCCUGACGCUGAGGCGCGAAAGCGUGGGAGCAAACG
rnacentral:rRNA from 1 species